rfam:Calypte anna contig43984, whole genome shotgun sequence.
CCAAAGGCUCUUUUAAGAGCCACCACAAUGCCACGAGAGAGCUGUGU